AACGUCCCCAAAGUUUAUCCCUGAACGCAAAUCAAAACAACGCUUCUUUUGCCCCGAGUCAGGACUGUUGGAAACGACCGUUGCGCUGUCAGCAACGAUGACGAAGAAGAAGAUCAGGGGAAGACAAGAGGUAUACGGAGCCCAGACAGUGAUUCAAAAGAUGCUCGGUACUUUUGGGGUGUCUUGCAGCUGUUCCUCGCCCUCUACCUCCCCGACUUCGGCUAACGCUCGAUCAUCUUCUUUCUUAUCUGCGAGUCGUGCAGAAGCAUGAAAUUUCGUCAAUCUGAGUGCUCGAUCGUUGCGUAUACAUAGAAUCUCGAGCAUUUGGAGCAAAUGCAUCCUUUCGUAUCCUCUCGUGCAUUCGUGAUUCACCACGACCGAUCUCGAGGUACUUGUCUAGCUUUUCACAAUCUGGAAAUAUGGCCGAAAGGAAUAAACGAAGUGUGAACAAUUUGCGAAAAGAGUUAUGAAAUAUAUUUUUAUCGCUUCCGAUUCAUCUCGGCUCCCUCUAAAGAAUCGUGGGAUUCCACCCAAAAAACAGCCGAUAUCUACAAUCUUCCCUUGCAAAGGUUACAUAAGAGUCGUCGAAGGAAGCGGAAAGGGAGGGAGGAAUAAGAACGAAGAAAUGGCCGCCGGAACGUCGUGAAGAGAUUUGGCAAAGGAUUCGACAAAGAUUCCCAGAGGAUCUGAGGAGGGCGCAAGGAGAACGACAGAUUGCUGGCUUCGAUCGGGACAGCAAUCGUAGUAGUUUGCCAGCCGGUCGACUCGUUUCUUUCACUGCCUUUCGUUUACUCCGCUUCACGACUGACUCCUUUCUGUCGGCGAGCUUUCCACCCUGCAAGACCUUCUGGGCCAACAGAAGGCCUACAUCUCCUUACUUCUCCACCCGACUAUUUCUUCCUUCUUCACACGCUUCUCUUAAAAAUUUUUUUCUCUUAUAUAUAUAUACAUAAUAUAUAUUAUACAUAAAUUCUCUUCAUUUGAUUCUUAUGUGAUUACAAAAGAAAAUCAUAAUUAAGAGAAUAUGCAUACUUGAUCAAUAAUAUUGAUUAUUACCUCUACAGUUUUGCAAUGAUAUUUUCAAUCUGUUUUUAUCUUAUCAAUAUUGACAAUAUUAUUGAUCAUAUGCCAGCUUCUUAGAAUUCACUUGUAAACCUACUGAUAAAUAUAUAAAUAUGCUCGUUAUUUUAUUUAUAGCAUACAAAUUCUCUUCAAAUAACCAACACGCACAAUUGACGAUUGACAAAUUUCUUUCAACCCUUUCUCGCGUAUCGAUCACUCCCCUGGAAGGAAGGAUGUGAGAUAGACGAUAGAAUUACUAGAAGAAGCAAAAAAAAAAAGGAGAAAAAUAGGGAUAAAAAAAACUUUAGAAAUCUCACGUCAUAGAAGAGGAGGAGGGUUGAACAACCCUACGGGAUCUUCUUUAUUAAGCUCUGGAGACUUAUUCUUGGUGCCAGACGGCAUGCUGUAAAAAAGGGGGAAGACGUCCUGGCAACCCUUUCCCCAGGAAGACGCCAGUCCUAGUUUAUGAUCUUUCCACUUUCGUUUUCCUGCUUCUAUAUCCGUACAUAGCACGGGAACGUUUCCAAAGUAUACGCGAUUCGAUCGAACUCUUGGAAUUGCUAAAUGGAUUGAAAUCAUUGACCUUGGUGGGCGAGGCUCCCCGAAGACAACGCCUUGAAGUCGGCACCGCUUCUAUGCACGCGAAAUAAAAUCAAGUCGUGAAUUUUAAAUCUAUAUUUUUGAAAGAUGUUGCCCGAGUGAUUUAAAAAUCACGCAAAACACCUGCGUACUCUUCCGGUUGGAUAUCGGAAGUGAAUUUACGAAAUCUAUUUGCAGAAUAUUCACCGGCCAACGUCUAGUCUAUUCGAAGUUUUCCACGGGCAUCAGUUUUCAGGAUACCUGUGGAAAAGCCGCCACUCAUCCCGAGCCGCGCCCCAAUAAUCUCCAGAGAUUAUUUCCGGGACCACGAGAAUAGAGAGAAGGCCGUGUCGCAGAAAAAAAAAAAAAAAAAACCUGUACAUACGACUUGGACCAACCCAAAAGAUGGCACAUGCAGAGAGGAGAAAGAGGGCCUCCUCUCUCGUGGCAUCUGUUGCAUCGUGGUUCGACACCACCACCAUCACUGGCCGCACCACCAGAAGGCACCAUCACUACCACCGGCCCUGACGACCACCAGGUGCUAUCCACCUUCCGUGUCUUUCCCCAUCGUCGUCUUCGAAAAAACCUUCUUCUCCCCUCCCCACGUCCCUCGCCAUUAUUCCCCGAGAUUUCCACCAUCUGCGUCUCUGCGAUCCACCCUUCGCCCCAUCUCUCUCCGACAUUCGUGAUCCACAUUGGUUCAUCGUCUUCGUUAGAGAAGGAGAAGAAGAGACCUCUGCCAAACCACCUUCUGCGAGAGGGUAAUUGUGACUGGGAUGAUUUCUUGUGUCCGGGAGGUGGAUGGGGUGGAAACGGACUGAAGCUUGAUGGAUGCUGUCUGAAGAAUAUGUAAUAGGAUGGGGAAGAGUCUAAGAGGUUUACU